UACGAAGGGGGCUAGCGUUGUUCGGAAUUACUGGGCGUAAAGCGCGCGCAGGCGGCUAUCCAAGUCAGUGGUGAAAGCCCGGAGCUCAACUCCGGAACUGCCAUUGAAACUGUUUAGCUUGAGGAUGAGAGAGGUGAGUGGAAUUCCCAGUGUAGAGGUGAAAUUCGUAGAUAUUGGGAAGAACACUGGUGGCGAAGGCGGCUCACUGGCUCAUUACUGACGCUCAGGCGCGAUAGCGUGGGGAUCAAACAGG
rnacentral:rRNA from 1 species